AGAGAAGCGCAAACGGUGGAUGCCUUGGCAGUAAGAGGCGAAGAAGGACGUGGAAUCCUGCGAAAAGCUAUGGGGAGCUGGAAACGAGCGUUGAGCCAUAGAUGUCCGAAUGGGGGAACCCGGCUGCAGCGAUGCGGUCAUUUGCAUUUGAAUACAUAGGAUGCAAAGGCGAACUCGGGGAACUGAAACAUCUAAGUACCCGAAGGAAAAGAAAUCAAGAGAGAUUCUCCAAGUAGCGGCGAGCGAACGGGGAGGAGCCUGGCGUGAUUUAUUAUUGAACUGAGUAGAACAAUUUGGGAAAGUUGGCCGUAGAGGGUGAAAGCCCCGUAUACGAAGGUUUGAUGAGGAACUAGGCACGCGAACAAGUAGGCCGGGACACGUGAAAUCCUGGUUGAAGAUGGGUGGACCAUCAUCCAAGGCUAAAUACUACUUACUGACCGAUAGUGAACCAGUACCGUGAGGGAAAGGUGAAAAGAACCCCGGAGAGGGGAGUGAAAUAGAAUCUGAAACCGUUUGCGUACAAGCAGUGGGAGCAUAGUUUAGGCUGUGUGACUGCGUACCUUUUGUAUAAUGGGUCAGCGAGUUACUUUCAGUGGCGAGGUUAACUGAAUAAGGGAGCCGUAGAGAAAUCGAGUCUGAAUAGGGCGAUAGUCGCUGGGAGUAGACCCGAAACCGGGCGAUCUAGCCAUGUGCAGGAUGAAGGUUGGGUAACACCAACUGGAGGUCCGAACCGGGUAAUGUUGAAAAAUUAUCGGAUGACGUGUGGCUAGGAGUGAAAGGCUAAUCAAGCCCGGAGAUAGCUGGUUCUCCCCGAAAGCUAUUUAGGUAGCGCCUCGUGAAUGAUUACUGGGGGUAGAGCACUGUUUCGGCUAGGGGGCUGUCAUGGCUUACCAAACCGAUGCAAACUCCGAAUACCGGCUAAUUGAAUCACGGGAGACACACGGCGGGUGCUAACGUCCGUC
rnacentral:rRNA from 1 species